CCUACGGGUGGCUGCAGUGGGGAAUAUUGGACAAUGGGGGGAACCCUGAUCCAGCCAUGCCGCGUGUGUGAAGAAGGCCCUCGGGUUGUAAAGCACUUUCAGUGAGGAAGAACGCCUGGUGGUUAAUACCCAUCAGGAAAGACAUCACUCACAGAAGAAGCACCGGCUAACUCCGUGCCAGCAGCCGCGGUAAUACGGAGGGUGCGAGCGUUAAUCGGAAUUACUGGGCGUAAAGCGCGCGUAGGUGGCUUGAUAAGCCGGUUGUGAAAGCCCCGGGCUCAACCUGGGAACGGCAUCCGGAACUGUCAAGCUAGAGUGCAGGAGAGGAAGGUAGAAUUCCCGGUGUAGAGGUGAAAUGCGUAGAGAUCGGGAGGAAUACCAGUGGCGAAGGCGGCCUUCUGGACUGACACUGACACUGAGGUGCGAAAGCGUGGGUAGCAAACAGGAUUAGAUACCCUUGUAGUC
rnacentral:rRNA from 1 species